GGGCCCGUGGCUUAGCCUGGUUAGAGCACUCGACUGAUAAUCGAGAGGUCCCAAGUUCAAAUCUUGGCGGGCCCA
rnacentral:tRNA from 1 species